ACCUGUCUCGAGCCCUUCUAUUUUGUUGGGUUCGGAAUUGGACGUCUUUGUCGUCGAUGGACGACUCGUCUUGAAACGCAUAUAGUCGGUUCUAAUCGAAGUAACAGAGCGGUGUGAUAAUAAUAAAGUCGACGCCGCGGACGUUUCUAAUAGAGCGACUUUGAAACCCGUCGAAUGACUGUCCUUUUGGGGGCAUAUAUUUAC
rnacentral:misc_RNA from 1 species